UACCUACGGGGCGCAGCAGUGGGGAAUAUUGCACAAUGGGGGAAACCCUGAUGCAGCAACGCCGCGUGAGUGAAGAAGUCAUUCGUGAUGUAAAGCUCUAUCAGCAGGGAAGAAAAUGACGGUACCUGAGUAAGAAGCCCCGGCUAACUACGUGCCAGCAGCCGCGGUAAUACGUAGGGAGCGAGCGUUGUCCGGAUUUACUGGGUGUAAAGGGUGCGUAGGCGGCCCUGCAAGGCAGAAGUGAAAUCCAUGGGCUUAACCUGUGGCCUGCAUUUGAAACUGUUUUUCUUGAGUGCUGGAGAGGG
rnacentral:rRNA from 1 species